UGUGGAAGUCGAAGUCGGUUGGAAAGCCGUACCGUAGAGGGUGAUAGGCCCGUAGACGUAAAGCGCUGGCUCUGGAGCGUGUUCCCAAGUAACACGGAACCCCUGAAAUUCCGUGUGAAUCUGGCGGGACCACCCGUUAAGCCUAAAUACUCCUUGAUGACCGAUAGCGGACAAGUACCGUGAGGGAAAGGUGAAAAGUACCCCGGGAGGGGAGUGAAAUAGUACCUGAAACCGUGUGCUUACAAGCGG
rnacentral:rRNA from 11 species